UGGUAGAUUAUGUUUGAAUUGGUUGAUAAAAAGUUUUAUUUUGGCUUAGAGUUUAAUUAUAUAAUUUAUGUAUAUGUAAUUUAUUGAGUAAUAGGAAGUUAGAAAUUUCUGUUUAUAAGCAGUAUUUAAUAUUAAGUAUUAAAUAAAUUUAGCCUUAGAAAUUUAUUAUAAUAUAAACUAAAUUUGUGCCAGCAGUUGCGGUUACACAAAUUAUAUGAGUUAAACUUAUUUGAUUUAGUUAAAUGUUUAAUAUUUUAAAUUAUAAUUAAGCUUUUUAAGUGAAAUUUUAAGUUUAGUUUAAAUUAAUAAAGUGUUUUAUAAGCUAGGAAAUUUCAGUAUAAACUAGGAUUAGAUACCCUAUUAUUAGAAAGUUGAGUUUUCAGUCAAAAUUACUAAUAGUUAAAGUCUUUAAAAUUAAAAAAUUUGGCGGUAUUUUAAUCUAUUCAGAGGAACCUGUUUUUUAAUUGAUAUUCCACGAUUAGUUUUACUUUAAAUUUAAGUUUGUAUAUCGUCGUAGCUUGAAUAUUCUAGGAGGAUAAAAUGUUCAAUUGGUAUAAUAAUAAGAGAAUUCAGAUCAAGGUGCAGUUUAUUUUAAAGUUAAAAUGGGUUACAUUGUAAAUAUAGUUGGUUUUUGAAUUUGAAAAUACUAAAUAAAUUGGAUUUGAAAGUAAUUUUAUAUAUUUAUUUAAAAUGACUAUGCUCUAUAAUAUGUACAUAUUGCCCGUCGCUUUCAUUUAAAAUGAAAUAAGUCGUAACAAAGUAGACUUAUUGGAAAAUGAGUCUAGAAUU
rnacentral:ncRNA from 1 species